AAUCACGAUUUUUCGAUUUCACUUCCGUGUUUGCUUUGCGCAGCGCCACCUAUCGUUCAAAAACGUAACCACGUUUUAUGGUCGCUUAGCAAAAUAAUGCAGCUUUAUUUAAAACUCUCAUUAAUAGACAAGGCCCGCCCAUGACUUCCUUAUACGGUAAAAACAUUUCCUUAUAAGUCUAGUUUAGGAACCAAUCGUGGUUUUUCGACAGAAGCGACGCUAACACAAAGCAUUCAUCGAUUGAUGUUGACACAUAUGGAAUGUUGAAAUUUAGUACGAUUUGACUAUACGUUUAUUUACCAUUUUCCUCAGAGUCGGAGCUGCGUCCCAGCUAAUCAUAAUUUUUUUAGAGUGUUGAUUUAUGAUGUUUAUUCAUAGAUUAUUCGGAAUACAAAGACAUAACAUUGUGAUGGACAGAGUAUGGUUGCUGUUGCAGACUCGAAGUGACAUGUCUCAGCUGAAAUAGGCGAAAAUGUUCAUCCAUGGACAUGGUUUUAUUUAUUUUUUUUUUAUACUUGUAGAUAGGCUUACUUAAACAUUGAGGUGGGUGUUUUGCAAUGCUUGCAUUGUAGAAGGUAAGUAUAAGUCAAUUUUUUAUAAUGCUUUUUAGUAACUGUAAGCUGAUUCAUCCUACCAAGGAAGGCGGUCCUUGAAGAGGUAAGCGAUGAUGAUUCUGUAGACAAUUUGAGCGAUGAUAAUGAGGACCUUGACUUCCAGUUACUUAUUACAUAAAUUUAUUAUGUAUUAUUUAAAGGUAAAUAUUUUAAAUCACCAUUAGGAAACAUAAGAAACGUCAGGUUAUUGAUAAGGCUGGUGUUAAGAACAUUUAAUGGUUUUAUGAGCAUUGUGUAAAUAUAUGUACAUAUUAUAUACUGUAUAUAAAUAUAGUAAAUUAUUAUUACUUAUUGUAGUUUUCUGCAAUAAUUCUCUUUCAUCAAAAUAUACCAAAGCAUACUAUGUCUCUAUUAUUUAUAUAGAUACAUUAUUCUAUUAUUGUAACCAAGUAUAUUUCAUUUUAGGGACAUUAGUUUUGAAACUGCAAAAAAGAAAUCAGUCUUGAGCGAAUGCAGACCAACGACAGUUAAAAAUGUGCAAUUUCAACUACUUUAAAUGGUGCUACAACUCAUUCAACCACUGAACUCCAAUAUACCUCAAAUGCCUUGGAAUAGCCUCACCUAUAGAAAAACAAAAACAUGCUGAAAACACAAUUUAGCAGUGACAUCAAUUUAAAUCAAUAUUUUAUCGAUUAGUAUUAACUUUGCUUUGUUGCAUUAAUAGUCAUAUAAAAGUAUGUCUUAAAAGUAUUCAUACUUAUUAUUUGUUGUGUGAGUUUCUUUUGAAUGCUUAUUUAUACCAGGAUGAUUCAUUUGGAUUGUUAACAGAAAGUGCUAGAACAAAUAAUAAAUUAAAAAUUUUUUCUUGGGUUAGGGUAUAUUUGACAAAUUUAACACAAGUUUUUUUUUUAAAUAUAAUGGUGUUUGUAGUUUAUAAUUAAAAACCAACUUUAAAUUCAAAUUAAUAGCAAAAAAUACUUAUGAAAUUAUAAUGAAGCCUUUAUAUUAGUCUUUUCUAUUCAGUGUUAUUUUUAUAAAAGAUAUGUUGAUUUUAUGUGUUUCAUGACAUCUUGUGUAUAGACCUGUUAAAGUAUCAUAUAGUGUUUCAUGUGUAGAAAUCCAAUACGUCUUUCUCAUUUCUUUCAAAACCUAUAAAAGGCCUAUAACUUAUAUAUGUUCCUCAUUUUUCGUUAUUUGAAUGUGUAUAGAAAUAUAAAGUGGGGGGUGGUGGGCACUAUAUUAUAAUUAGUGUGAAAGCAUGCAUAUUUUUAUAUUCUAGAAGUUAUUAUGCUGAUUUUAUAUGUUCCAAAACCUUGUGUAUAGACCUAAAUUAAACAAAGUAUUUUAUAGUGUUGAA
rnacentral:lncRNA from 1 species